rnacentral:tRNA from 1 species
GGGCGGGUAGCUCAACUGGUUAGAGCAGUCGUCUUAUACACGACCGGUUGAUGGUUCGAGUCCAUCCCCGCCCACCA